GACGGAGGGGGCUAGCGUUGUUCGGAAUUACUGGGCGUAAAGAGUGCGUAGGCGGUUUAGUAAGUUGGAAGUGAAAGCCCGAGGCUUAACCUCGGAAUUGCUUUCAAAACUACUAAUCUAGAGUGUAGUAGGGGAUGAUGGAAUUCCUAGUGUAGAGGUGAAAUUCUUAGAUAUUAGGAGGAACACCGGUGGCGAAGGCGGUCAUCUGGGCUACAACUGACGCUGAUGCACGAAAGCGUGGGGAGCAAACAGG
rnacentral:rRNA from 1 species